GCCGAGCCGCGAGCGGGGAGCCGAGCCCGGGCCGCUCCCGGCGCUGUCCCGCGCGCCUGGAGGCAGCCGCCCGGAUCGUCCUGCGAGCAAGCGGACGUCCGUCCAUCCGUUCCUCAGGGUUCCGUGUGCUCUUCCCGGGUCGCAGCCGCCGGGGUAGCGCGAGAGAGGGGUCCCGGCCAGGGUCCGGCCAGAGCCCAAAGCCGAGCCGACGUCGGCGGGUCCCGGCGAUGCCCCGGCGCGGUGCCCGCCCGUGGCCGGUCUGAGCGCGCACCUGGGUUACUGCCACCGAAAGAAAAACUUCAGCAGAAGCUGUGGGAUGGUGCCCCGAGGCAGCCCUGCCACAAAAAUCAAGUUCCUCGGGGCUGACAUCACUUGGGAUCCCUUCCCUCUGUUGCGUUCGUGUUUUCCGCCCCGCGUCUCCGGGUUGCCCCAAAUAGGAAGAACAGGUUUAUGGCAAUAUAGAUAUUACUUGGGAUGGGGAAGGAGCGGCUGCUUCCCCCCUGCCCUCUCCGGUUGUAACCUGAAGCGCGUGUAAUCCUCUAACAAUGAGACAAUUUAAAUAGGAGGGGGAGGGAAAAAGAAAAAGUGAAACCCGAGGGAGAGAGGAACUUGCCUGAUCUUUCUUGUCAGCGCUCACCCUGCAGACCGGGAGAGCUUUUCCCGGGGAUCCAUCAUGCCCCCACCCCUCCGCUUUCCUUUCUCCAAACACACCCCUCGCUCCUUCAACGGGUGAAACAACUGCGUGACGGACACAAAAACUUACGGCUCCCCGAUGAGGCCGCGGAGCGGAGCGUGGUGCGCGGGGCACGGUGGCGCGGUGGGAGAGCUCCUCUCCCGGGCCGCGCCGGGACCGGGGCCGCGCAGCCCCCGCGGCGAGAGGCGAUGGCCCCGGCUGCGGGCCCCGCUCCGCGCCCCCUGCGCACCCCCUGAUCGAACCCUGCUUCCAGCUCUGUCCCGCGCAACCUUCCCGGGGCCGAUGCCGGGCGGCACGGACCGGGUUUUGUACUGCUCCGCUAAAAGUGCAUCGUCGUGUCCUUUCGGAGGAUAGAUACUGCGAUGUAAACAGAAUAGGAUGCACAUCCUGUAUUGCAUCUCACCCAGCUGUGUUAGAUCUUCUGCAAAGAAAAACAGAAAAGUGAUAUAAUACAACUGAACAAAAAUACUCAAGCUAAAUGGACUACAAUCCUCAGAUUUGGAUUUUCCUUUCAGCAGAAAACCUCUGAGAGAAGAAGGGAAAAAAAAGGAUUUCCCAGGAGAAAUACAUCCACAAAAUACUGGGCUUGCUGCACCUGGGCCGUACAGAUGGUCUGCAUGUGCACAUAAAAUCAGAUGGAUUGACCUGCCCGUAUGUAGCCUAUAUGUCUCUACUACUCCUCCAACUGAGCUGCCAGGCAUCUGGAAUCCUAAAAAAAAAAAAAAAAAAAAAAAAAAAAAAAAAAAAAAAAAAAUCUCCAAAAUACUCAAAUUCCACCUGGACACCAUUUCCGGGAGGAAAAAGAGGGCAUGUCAGGAAAAACCUGGACAUAUGGCAGCCCUAGUACAAUUGGAAUUGUUAACUAAGAAAGCAGCCAAAUAAAAUAAAUUGUGUAUUCUGUAUUCUCUGUCUUGUGCUGAAAAUGUAACAUACCUAUCAAUGUGAUUUUAGGGUGAUUCUUUAUUUUUUAUCUCUUUAUCAUGGAAAUUAGAAAAAAAUGUAUAUAGGUCUCUUACAAUGUACUGGGUUUGCAGUAUUCAAUGUCUAUAUUUUCUAUAACAUGAAGUUAUAUUUUUCCUGUUCUUCCCAAGGGUCAUUAUAACAUGUAGUAUGAAUGUGUAUGCACAAUAAUUUAAAAUAGCUACAGGGGACCUGCAGCUCCUACUGCAGUUACAAAGCAAGCUCACUGAACACUUUUUCAAUAUCUUUAUGUUUUAUAUAUAUAAAGCACCAUCACUACUUUUGUUACUUUGCAGCAUUAAGGUAAUGACUCCUUUAAACAUGGAAACACUGUUAUAAUAAUAGUACAGAUUGCAUAUUAUGAACCCACAGCACUCAACGCAGAACCAAUAUCCCAAUGGCAAGCAACUACUGAGAGUGCGCAAUUGUUGCUUUAAAACCACAACAUAUUGCCCAAUUUAAAUUACUUAAACUGAUUAUUCUACAUUCCAGGCUAAUUGCCUGCAAAAUUUCAUUAUAAAAAUCACAGCUGUUUUCUUGUGCAUGUGUGCAUGGGAUUUUGUUUGUUUGGUUGGGUUUAUUCAUUUGAGGAAAGAGAAAUAUGUGUCUGAAACAAAUUCUUUUUCAGUGUUCAGGGCAACAUUUAUUAUAAAAUGUUUAACACAGAAUCAGUUUAAGCCUAUUAAGCCUUAGCGCCUAAGCUUCCAUCCACACCAUCUCUGUAUAUAGACACUCACCAACAUGUUGCUAUGGAGGAUGCACCAGUGCAUCAAUGCCUAAACACACAUAUGGCUUCAAAGCAUAUCGACUUAAUCUGUGCGUAAUUUAUAUUAAAAAAUGGACAAUGUCUAUUCUUAUUUGCAUAUAAAAAGCCACAGACAUCUUCAGAUGUGAAUCAGAAAAUCCAUUUGGCAUCAGUGGAAGUACAUGAUCUAAAACUAGCAUAUGGUCCACAGUUUGUGGAAAAAAAGUGUUCUGGUCACACCUUUCUUAAAAGAUACACACAUAAAGCUCAUGUGCUGUACUUUCACUGAGUGCAAAAUGGAAUAAAUUUAAUUAUCAAAUAAAUUUUUAUAUUCUUUAUUUUGGUCUGUAUCUCCAUCCAGAAAGAUUAUGUUUUAAUUGAGCAUUUAGAGAGACUAAUAACUAAUGUUUUGCAUAGAAUAAACUGCUGAAUAAAGAGCUAAAUUUACCAGAGGAAAAUAUGACUGAUGCCUUUAAAGUCUACUUCUGUUGCCUGUAUAGAAAAGGGUAAAAGUUGCUGCUUUACAGGAAUGCCAUUAGCUGCAGUAGUAACAAUAGUGAUCAUGGUAUGUGAGCAAGGUAAGACUGGGAGUCGUGCCUUAUGUAGUAAUUACAUCCAAUCAAUGAAUCACUUAUUUCUGUGUCAUCUCUCCAACUGCAGGCAGUGUCAGCUCCCUCCAUAAAAGGCUGAGAGUAUUCACACUGUAACUGCAGCUAUUACUCACCCAGUGACUGGAGAGGGUUUUCUGGUAGACACUAUUUAGUGACUUUUCAAAAACACAUGCGUGACUCAGAAGUUUGAAAGUGGCUUAGACACUUAGGAAAGUCAAUAGAAAUUAUGCACCUCAGGGCCAGAUUUUUAAAGGCUACUAUCUUCCAUUGAUUACAGGAAUUAGGAACCUAAAUACCUUUACAAAUCUGGCACAAGAGGCUAAAUCACAUUUGAAAGUCAAUAGGAAUUAGACUUCUAAGUGCCUAAAUCAAAUGAAAAAAAGACGUGUUUUAGGAGUGAGACUCUUUAUAAUUGUAUUCCCGCUAGUGUAACUGCAAAUUAUGGGUUCAAUUAUUCCACUUAGGCACAGCUCAGAGGAAGAAAGUGGUAUGAAGUUGCAAUACCCCAGAGUAAAGCAACCAUUCCUAAACUCUUUCAGGAGAUGCAGAAUACUGCUUCAUGAAUUUUAGGCUUGUGAGAGAAAGAAAUAAUGGUUUUGGUUUAGGCUGUUUUCUUUAAACCAUCAAGAUAAGGAAUAAUGAUACUACUGGUCUUUAUUUCUAUUUCUAAUAUGUUGUAAAUUUAAAAAAUUAUACUGUUUGUUAUUUCCUGCAGUUCUGAAAACUGAUAUAAUACUUAACAAAAAUAAAACAUGACUCAAACAAGGUUUGUUUGAGUCCAAGAACUUACAAUAUAGGGACCAAAUGACAUCAUUUGAAUGCUCAUGUGUGUGCUUCAAUGAGAUAAAUCAGUAGGAUUAAGAAGUAACAUUUUACUUAAGUACUCAUUGUGAACAAAUGUAGCAAAAUAUCACUGUAAGUAGAUAGGGACAAAUAAUAUAUAAAAAAAGAGUACACAGAAGUGAACUAAAGAAUAAAAAAUAGCAACAAGAAGGUAAAAAUAUUUUUUAUAAUGCAUUGAAAGACAAAUAACUGUAUAAUGGUGACACAGAAUUAUUUUGUUUAUAAUUUUAUCAUAAUUGCAUAGGAGAGAUAACCUACCACUACCAAUAGGGCAGUGAUUAUAUGCAAAGGUCAUCUCUCUUCACAUUAAUCAAGGAGUUAACAGUGAUUAAGAUGAUUCAAGAAAAUCCUAGAAUGAGAAGGGGGUAAUUAUUCAGAGAUAGGAAGAAAAUAAACAGGAAAUAUCAGGUAUUGAAAAAAUUAAUAAUGAGACUCCAAAAUGAAUACCACAUUCAUUUUUAGCAUUAUCUCAUUUGGGGGAAAAAAAGGUUCCAUUUGAGCUAUCAGUGCCACAUGCAAUAAUCUAAAUAUUUUUUAAGUCCUCAUUUGGAAGACUAAUCAUGGGAACUGAGGAUGUCAUAUAAAGAAAAUUAUGUAAAGGAGGCCUAUAAAAUCAGAUACUGUAUAGCAAAAGCAAACUGAGAACUGCUAUUCACCGAGUCUCACCAUGCACCAGUUAGGGGCAACCCAAUGAAAUUAUCAAUUAGCAAGUAUAAAGCAAAGAAAAGGAAGACUGAUUGUUUUUCACACAAAAUAUUGUUACAUUCCAUUACUUUUUGAUAUAUACAGUUGUAAAACUAUAAGGUAGAAGUAUAAGGUUGGUCAAAAUGAAGAAGAGGGCAACUGGCAAUUUUAAUCCUGUUAGGAUAGAGGUUAAAUCUGAAAAUCUCUAACUUUGAUGACGUCUCGAAUCCAGGUAGCAGGUAGAAGAGUAAGCUAAUGGAGAAAAGAGGAAAAUAAGAGCACCAGAAGAAAGAUUACGUGUAUCCUAUUACUACAUUCUUCCCUUAACAUAAAUAAGCUGCUGGUGCCCCUCUUGGUUCUUUUUCUUAUGGACAGAUUCAUGCCUGGCUAAAAUGUCUUUCUCUGAAACCUGAGCUGGGGAAGACAAAUAGGGAGAGAAACCCAGUCUGGAGCAAGCAGAAGGAUUGUGGGAGAAAUAAUAAGCAGAAAAGGGAGGAGGGUAACAAUUUAAGGGUUGCAAACAUAAGAGCAGGGAAACAGCAGGAGACACCAAGCAGAGUGCCCCAAAAGCACUCAUUAUUCCUUGAAAGUAUCAUCCAAAAACAGGUGGGCAGUGCCUGCUGCUGUGAUGUAUGGAAAUGUGACAGGAUGAGGCAACAGUUAUAGUGUCUGUCCCCUGUUCCCAUGCAGCUUCCUUUUCCUGGUGCCAGGAACGACCAGGGCCAACAAGAAGGUAAUGAGAUGCUAGGGCAUGGCAGGUCCUCAAGCCUCACAGAUAUAAAGAAAAGGAAAUGGAGAAAAAAGUAACAUCAGAAAGGAGUUCUUGAAGAGGCAAAAGAGCCACUGCAGGUGGUAUUCACAAUAUACACUUUCACCAUGGUGUGCCUCUUGCUGCAGGAGUCAUGGGGACACUAAGAACCGCUCCAUGUCCAUGAACAUACCCAUGUGUGGACAAUUUUCCAUUAAUUCACAGUGAAAUGUGGAGCAUGCUGCUCCACAGUCAUAUUUUACCAACUUGAUAAUUAUAGAACCUAUCAAUUAGUGUCUAGAUGGAGCGCAAAUGCGAGGAAACAGAGUAAAAGAAUUAUAUGUUUGUGAGGAGUUGCUUUCACAGGGCAGUUAUGAGUCAGACAUCAGGCAAUAGGGGCCCACACAUACCCACUGCCAGGAGUCCAGUUGGUCUCCAGCCUUGCUGACACCCUUCUUCCAUACACCAAGGAGAUCUCUACCACCUACAUACCUGUAGUUAAGGGUUCAGCAAGAUUCCCAUUUUUUGAUGGCAGUAGAGAACAGAGUUACUCCACAGAACCUACAGAUCCUAUUGACAUGUGCUGUGGGGAACAAUAACAUCAGUUAGACAAAACUUUGGUCUAAGCCUGGCAGUUCUUAUUUUUGCUAGAAGUUCUCACCCUUUUAUGCAAUAAGUCCAAGUUGCCUUUAGAGCCAGUGUAGAGACGCACCUUCAAAUAGUGAUUUAUUUAAUUCUGGAAAUGGCUUUCCCUCAUGCUAGGGUGAUUAACCUAGGUGUCUGGAAGAAUAUCAUAUAGGAGGAAGCAGUUCAUAUAUAUGGGAUAUUGAAGGAAAAAAAAUUCUUAUUGCCCAGCUAGGUGCUGAUCUGAUAUGAGGGUGGGUAGUUUUCAUAAUGCCAAGUCUAGCUGUCAGAUUGUAGUCACAAAAAUAAGGUUUCUUCAGCUUUUGGUAUAAAGAAACAUUUAGUACCCUUUCAGGCUCAUUUUUUUCAGGGUACGGAACAAUAAAUUAUUUAAAAUUUAUUUGUACUGUUCUAUUAAUACAAUAAAGCCACCCUCUGAGAAUUUCCAGUAUUGCAACCCUUCCAUAGCAAGUGCUUCAUUUCCCAUACAAAAUAAAUCAGAAGUCAUAUAAUGCUGCAACAGAGCCCUGUCAAUACCAGUUAAGAAUACAAGGGGAUUUAUGAGGUGACAGCCUUCUGAUUCCUGAACACAAGGUAACUCAAAUUACUCCAAGGUUUGAUUUAAAAUCAGUGACCCAUGAAGUUUACUCCUUAAAUAUUACAAAAACUUGCUUCUAAUUAUCAGGACCAUUACUGUCAACAAAUCAUGACUUAGAACACUGAACCUGAGACUGUCUACUAUCCUAUUCACAUAUAGAAGAUUUAUAGUUGCAAUUCACAUCCUGUCAAAUCCUUUCAUCUGUAAAAUGACAGCUGUGAUUUACGCAUGUCACUUAGCUAUUAAAUUCAGUGAAAUUCCAGGGCUGAAUUCCUUCACAUUUCUUUUAACAAGAAAAAGUAAUUUCAAAUAUUUUUUUUUUCCAGUGAAAUAUGCUAUCCACAUUAAUUGAGAAAACAUUGCUUGUGGAUUCCACAGUUGUAAAUAGAAAAGUAAUUAGUGUUUGAAAAUCAUAUGGCUUCAGUUCUUGUCGUUUUGAAUACUUAACUGAGCGUUGAUCUUGCAAAUAUUUGUGUAUGUAUGUACUAUGAUUAAGGUUAACAAAGCAUCUAUAGCUUGAUAGAUCGGAUCAUUUUGUGAUAUAUCCUAGCAUUUCCUUUUGUCGAUUAUGGCAUACGUAAAAUAAAAAACAAAGGAUAGUUUGUAAAAUCAAUUGCUUUCAGUUGCUGCUCAUUAAGCAAUCUCAAGGUAUAAUCAGUCAUGAAAGGACUUUUUUUUCUUUCAUAAAUCUCUAAGAGGAAAUUUGUAAAUUUUAUUCCUCAAUCUCAUAAAGUAUUUUCCUCUAUUCAGAUUGCUCAUGAAAGUUCUGUUAAAUAUCUGAACCUACCAGUUAUUAAACAUAUUUAUUUUUCUGAUUAAUAUUCAAUUUCUAACUUUGAAAAAGCAACCAUAAAAUGUAUAAGAAUUCCUUUUCCUUUGGGAAUUUCAACAUUUCCCUCCAACUAAAUGAUCACAUAUCACUGAAGAGAUAAACUGCUCCUUAAAAUUCAUCUCUUAUGUUGCUUACAAUUAUAUUUUUCUUUCUGUUAUUAUUUUGCUUUUCUACAUGGGGCAAAUAAGAUUUCAAAUAGUAUGGUAGAACUAAUUAAUCCUUUCUGUUAGUCUGUGGCACACAAGACUGCCAUUGUAUUCAGAAUAUGCUAAUAUUUCUGUCACCUUGCUUUUGUAUCCUUAUUCCAUAUCAUGGCCUUUAAGUACUAUAAGCUAUAGAUUGUUUCUGAUUGCAAUAAACAGGAGUCAUAAAAAUUCUAAUGGACUACAGGGAUUUUUCAUGUAUAUGUUUAUUCACUUAGUAAAUCGAGCUUUUCUGUGACAUUUAAAAUGGAUCUAAAGAAAUCAUUCAUUAUUUGCUAAGAAAUGCAAAAAUAAAUCCUGUCUUGAAAGAAACUGAAUCCCUUUCCUCCUCAUGGAAUCAUUCCAUUAGUACAUUGGAUUAGGGACUAAAACCAAGAGGUAAAAUUUGUUAACAUUAAAGGAAAACAUCUCUUCCUUUUGUUCUUGAAAUAGUUCAUUUGUUUUAAUAGAAGUUCAGUAACCUUCCUGCCUUGUCUGAAACAGAGUUCCAAAAGUAUGUGGUAUUUAUACGUGUAACUCCCUUUAGUACUAAUUAAAACACAUAAUUAUGCGUGCAAGAUUUUUCCAUGUGCCACCUGGUGAACUGUUUCUGAUAAGAAGUUUCCAGUCUAGGGAGAGUGCUGCAUGGACAGGACAGCAAGGAAAGAACCCCAAAACCACUGAGAAAAUGUAAUGAAGCUAUUAGAAAAAAAGUGAAUGGACUUUUCUGGUUAAAGAGGAGAGGGUAUAGUGGGGUAUGUCAUGUUUUUGGGAAGUAUUCACUAAGGAUUAGUAGCUUUUGCUUAGUGGUGUCAUUAGUUCCUGUUGGGUAACUAUCAGUGAACCUUUGGCAGCUCCACACUACUGACAGAUACAUAUCCAUUUCUUUUCACUUCUCACUCAGCAACUGCACCCAGCUAUGGCAUUCAUCAGAUUCCUCUAGAGCCAGAUCAGUGCAGAAAGUCUGCAGAAAAUUAUCUCAAAUAAGAAAUAAAGAAA